rnacentral:lncRNA from 1 species
CUCCUCCCGCCCCUUCAAACGUUGUUGUUGGAUUGCUGCUGCGCUGCAUGCGCGAGAAGUGCUUCACUUCCGCACACUAAUAUGAACAGUAUAUACGAAGACCACAGCUAAAGACCACAGCUAUCCGGAGAAAAAUGAUACAGUUAUCACUUUUCGUCCACAAGAGUCAGUUUUUGAACGAUGGAGUCAGAUCCCACUUGAAAUCAAAAAGGAGGCUGGACAGCGGAUGAAAAUCUGUGUCUUUUGGCUUCCUAUUCUAUUGCAGCGGGACGAGUCCAGCAAUGCUGUUUGCUGGGCUGCAGAAAUAGGUCUAAUCAGCUCAAAGAACACAGUGGACCUACGUCUGAAGCACCUGCGCAAGAUUGAGACAGUGGAGACAAUCCUCAGAGCCUUGGAGCAAGGAUCUGUAAGUUAACUGAGCCAGAGACUAAAGUUAGUGCCACCAUCUCUGCCCAUGAGCACAACUAGUGCAGCUCCAAUAAUUGUCUUAGAUGCUGUGUGUGUGGAUUUUGAGUUGAGUUGAGAAGGGCCAAAACAAUGCUACCACAUAAACAUGUUCACAAGGAAAUCAGGAAUAUUUGAAGAUGGCAAAUCAAUAAAGAAUAUAGAUAAGGG